ensembl:lncRNA
GUGACCUUGACCUCCUCCACCAAGAAGAGUCUCUCGGUUGAAGAUGGAGGUCGUUUCUUAUCUGUUUCCACUUGUAGCGGUGUCUCGGGCUGAGUGACCUUAACCUCCUCCUCCACCAAGAAGAGUCUCUGGGUUGAGGAAGGAGGUCGUUUUCUAUCUGUUCUCACCUGUAGCGGUGUCUUGGGACGAGUGACCCCGACCUCCUUCUCCACCAAGAAGGAGGAAGAGGAAGGAGGUUGUUGGUGGGGUUCUUUGUCGUU